CGGCCUGAGUAGGUGCUGGGUAGGUGCUGGGAGUGGAAGAUGUCCUGAAAUUAGAAACAGGAGUCUGGCCAGAGCAGUUGGCCCCCUUUGAUUUGGACCUAACUCUACGCGGAAGUAGAUUCAUUUAUUCAUUCAACUUGAUGAAUUCUGGUGGGCAGAGUGAAAACUGAAGAUUGGCCUGGAGACAAUGCCACUAUUGAGCCUUAACUUUGUUCCAAGGAACAUUGUGACCUGGCCUAGGUGGACAGCUGCAAGAACAAAGGAUUCCUACACCGAGAAGUGUGCCACAAACAACCAUGCCCCUCCCUCAUCUGGCCUUUAAAAAUGCUUUGCUGACUAUUUACAAUAGCCAGGACAUGGAAGCAGCCUAUGUGUCCAUCGACAGAUGAAUGGAUAAAGAAGAUGUGGCACAUAUGUACAAUGCAAUAUUACUCAGCCAUAAAAAAAAAACGAAAUUGAGUUAUUUGUAGUGAGGUGGAUGGACCUAGAGUCCGUCAUACAGAGUGAAGAAAAACAAAUACCGUAUGCUAACACAUAUAUAUGGAAUCUUAAAAAAAAAAAAAAGGUUCUGAAGAACCUAGGGGCAGGGGCAGGACAGGAAUAAAGAUGCAGAUGUAGAGAAUGGACUUGAGGACACAGGGAGGGGGAAGGGUAAGUGAGAGAGUGGCAUGGACAUAUAUACACUACCAAAUGUAAAAUAGCUAAUGGGAAGCAGCUGCAUAGCACAGGGAGAUCAGCUCGGUGCUUUGUGACCACCUAGAGGGGUGGGAUAGGGAGGGUGGGAGGGAGACGCGAGAGGGAAGGGAUAUGGGGAUAUAUGUAUACGUAUAGCUGAUUCACUUUGUUAUACAGCAGAAACCAACACAAACAUUACAACAUUGAAAAGCAAUUACACUCCAAUAAAGAUGUAAAAAAAAAAAUGCUUUGCUGAAAACUUUCAGGGAGUUUGGGGUUUUUUGGGCAUGAGCCACCCAUCUCCUUGCGUGGCCCUCCAAUAAACCUUUCUCUGCUCCACCCUUCGACGUUUUGGUUUGUUUAGCCUCACUGUGUGUCGGGUGCAUGAACUUGCAUUCAGUAACAAUGGCUAAUAAGUGCAUGAAACGAUGUUAACAUUAGCCAUUAAGGAAAUGCAAACUGCAUCACUACACACCUAUGAGAUUGACUCAAAUUAAAAAAAGACAUCACCAAAUGCAAGUGAGGAUCACUGACAUGUUGCUGGUGGGAAUGGAAAAUUGUACAGCCACUCUAGAAGUUUGUUAUAAAACUAAACAUACAGUUACCACACAAGCUAGCAAAAGCACGUUGAGCAUCUGUCCUAGAGAAACGAAAAUGUAUGUUCACACAAAAACCUUAACCUCAAUUUUCAUAGCAAAUUUAUCUGGAGUAGCUGAAAUCUGAAAACAUCCUAGAUAUCCUUCAACAGGUGAAUGUUAAACAAACUGGGAUACGGACACUGUGGAACACUACUCAGCAAUAAAAAAGAAGGAACUAGCGAUGCACAUAACAACGUGAUGAAUCUCCAGGGAAUUCUGUGGAGCAACAUUACAUUCUCAGAAGAAAAAUCUUUCCAUUACAGCGGAAAGAGAGUGAGUAAUCUAACAUUUACCACGGAAAGCCUGGAAAAUACCUGGCCCCCCAUGGACACACAGAAGCCCUAAAGAGGGAGAGCAAAGGCCACUGUGUUAAAAUGUCUGAGGCAGGAGAGGAUGGUGGGAGGAAGCCGUCCAGUUCCUUCUAAAACUCAAUACUCUCACCCAGGUGAUUUGGUCAGGUAAGCUGGUACUUCUGGAUAAAACCAGAAUUACAUCUGAUAAACCACAUUUGAGAUAGUCAUUCAGAGAAAGCCAGAAAAAAGAUCUACUUACCAUUCUCAGAAUUAUUUCAGUGCUCUCUAUUCAGCAUACCUCACCGAGGCUUGUGAGAUUGUGGUCCAGCAGUUGAGAUGUGCAGGCAUCAGGUGUGGGCUGGGCUGCAAAGCCAGGGGCACCAGCACGGCUUCACGGGGGCCACAGGAUGUCUCCACCUGGCCUGCUGCUAGUCAGGAGGGCCCGAUGGCGAGGGGCUGGCAUAUAUGUCUGCUGGGUUUGUUUCUACCCAGGCUGAUGGUCUUAUUUCUUCAGAAGAAGAGCCCCUCUUAGGACCAAAAUGAGUACAGAAGCAGGAGUGAGAAUGGGAUAAACCAAGGGUGGAGUACAAGCAUUUCUGGAUUUGGCAGGAUUUCCAUUCUUUCCCCCUGAUAUAAAACACCAGGCUCCCCUUAGAACGGCUUUUGAUAAAAACUAUUUUAAGUGUCAAGAAGGCAGAAAUGGAAACCCUGUGUUUCAGGAAAGACAGUUCUCAUUGUCAUAAUUAUGACCACAGGUUCUUUGUAGCCUUGGGGGCUUGUGAUCCUGGUUGGGUCCCUAUCAAAAUAAGAAACAAAUGUCCCAAGAACCCUGCCACCCCCAUCAGCUUAGAAGAGACGCUUGGCCACGGCCAGGGCCUACACUGGGCCUCCUCAGGCUUAGAGCUCUGGAUCCAAGAGAUCACGGUCAAUACCUUCUCCAGGAGUUACAAAGGGGCUUUGAAUUUAAAUAGGAACGCUUUUAAUUUAAUAACAAGUCAGGCAGGGAGAUGUGAAGAAAGAAACUGAGACUCCCUUUAGCAGGGACCCUGGAGGGAAAAUACCCCCCCAGACGUCAACCUUGAGAAUGGUCGGGGCUGGACUCUCUGCCUGGGCAUCGGCCAGCCUCCUCUUUCCUCUGGGCCCUUCCAGGGUUGGUGGGAGCCAGGAGGAGUGGGACCAGAGAGAGACCCAAUUGCUAAAAGGUGGCUUUCUCAGGUUGUACCAAGACAGGCUGGGACCUGGGGCCUUUGCUGCAGUGCUCGCACCUGGACAAACAUCUCCUCAAGCAACAGAAUACAAAGAAACUCUAAGGGACUAAAAUAACUGCGUGCAUGCGCAGUUGGGGCAAAUCAUGAACAAGAUACAGAAAGGCCAAACCCAACUGCCCUUCCAAGGUGCCGAGGUGCCCGGAGCAAAAGCAGGGUACUGCGCGUGAUCUCUGCACACGGCAGCACCAAGGGGAUGGGCAGACCCCCUGAGCCACGCCUCCCGCCCGACACACAGAUCCAUCUCUACCCUCACCCUGUUUGAGGGAUCGAGCUAGUAGGGCACCUGUUGCUUGUUCUUACUCUCUCAUGCUGCAGCAGGGGCCCCAGUAAAGCCUUGCCUGAAUUCCUCAUGUGGCCUCUUAUCAAUUCCUCUUGAUUAAAGAGUCCAAGAACCCAGGUAGGUAACAGUACAAUAGGAAGUGCUGGAAGCUUGCUGGCGCUGAAGGAGAAGAGAAGAACUUCUAAGAUGCGACUGAUUUCAUGCUUCUUGUAUUGUGUUUCUUUUUUGUUUCCUUGCUGUUUAGUAAAGGUCUUUCUUCCUUUUUUUAAGAUUUGGAAAAUUAGACUACUUUGGGCACACUAAAAGAAACCAAAAAAAGAUUUUGUUCGUUCACCAAUUGGUUUAGGUGAUUGUGAAGAACACAACUCUUAAAAGUCAAACCUCAAAUAGACUAGUAGAAUGUAAGCUCCUGGACAGGAAUUGUGGUGUGUCUUGUUCACUGCUGUGUUCUCAGCACAUGGCAUAUAGCUUGGAGGGAGCUCAAGUCAUAUCUGACAGUGAAGAAAGGAAUGAAGAAAUGGAAAGGUGAAGCUCAGGGGUAGAGGCUGACUUUUGGGGUCCCUCUGACAUUUCUCCAGGGUCCUGUCUUUUCCCAGUGAGUUCCUCCUCCUGUUACAGUUUCCACUUCUGCCCACACCCCAGGGCCAAGCUGCAGGAGCACAUAACAUUUACACUGACACUUUUAGGGUAAGUAGACCUUAAUCAAGGUAAAGGGGACAAGGGGAAUCAGGUGGAGGGUAUCGAUAAGUGCUCUUUUGGUAACAGUGACAAUUCAAACCGGCUGAAGCAAAAGGGGGACUUGUUAUCUCACAUAACUGGGAAGCCCAAUGAUAACCUCAUUGGAUCUGGGGGCUCCAACAAUGAUGUCAGGGCUCUCUUUAACUCCACCUGUUGGUUCUGCUUUCCUCUAUGCUGACUCCAUUCUCAGUGAAGGCCUUCUCAAGGAUGGUAAAAUCUCCACCAGCACAGCUCCAAACUCGGGUCCUAGUCCUCUGAGCAACCUCAGUGAAGCAGCAAACAGCCCAACUAUUUGAAAGUCUUUAUUUCAAAAACACCAUUCCUGCUUCAGUUCCUGACCUGAAUAUGAUUCCGCCAGUUCUGAGAAGAAAAAAAAAAAAAAAAAGGCCCUUUUUUUUAAAUUGCAUUUUUAAUGAUCCAGAGCCUCAGAUGUGUGGUCCAACAAGGACUAGAGAUCCUAAACACAUAGCAUUUUCAUGGAGGAGGUUGUCCCCAGCAAACGUCUAAGGGAAAGGUGAGACCAAGUCUAGCUCUAGUUAUCAGAGUUUAUUCACUGGUGCUCAGAGGGGGUCAGUGCCUUCCACUGAUUGGGUAAAGAGGGAAGACCACAUUUCUCCUGAUGCACUUCCAAACUGCCCUUGGGAGAAAAAGUCACAGCUGAGUUCAGUAGGAAUAAAGACCAUAUAGGAGAGGAACUGCUUCAUCAGACAUAUGAUCCCUCCAUUUAUAAACUGUAGUACUGAGAGCACUCCCACAGCAGUCUGAAGUCUUCUAAAUGUCUCCUUUUGCUUGAAGGACACCAGGCACCUUGCCAUACCUGGACUUUGGAGUGAUAACCCCUGUCAUCCAAGGGCUGGGGUUUGGAGGAUCCUUGCCCUCAGUGGAGGUUCCUCUAAUCCUUGAGGUCAGGCCAAGAUCAGAGGCCAAGAUCACAAUAGCUCCAAGGAGAGUUUUUGCUUGUGUCUGAUUUGUUUGUCACCCUGAUACUGCCCUGCUAUAAGUAUCAUAGCAGUGGAUGAGGAAAUAUCAUCCAUUUUACAGUAUCCAGCACAGUGCUUGGCACAUAGUAGGUGCUCACUGAAUGAAUAAGGAGCUUAUUCAGGAUCAACGAGGAGAUUUUCAGGAUCAAUCUGUCAUUUAAGUGACCUUGGCUGAGGGGUUGCUUGGACAGACCCUGGGCUCCCCCACCCUGUCUGAGGGGGGACAGCAGUGUCUGGAAAUCUGAGCACCUCCAUUUCUCAGAGAAAGUGCCCCAGCUUCCGCGCUCAUGCCACCUCACACCUCCUCUAAUGUGUUUGGGAAUCCGUUGGGAGGGUCCUCCUUAGUGGUGGGGAGAUUUAAGCUGCUACCUAACAGACUGCUGAUGGAUUAGCAAGGCUUUCAGAUAAAACCUUAAAGGGGUUAGAGUUUCAUUCUUCCCCCAUGCUCAGGGGGAAGAACUGCUGCUUCACUGUUGCCGUAGUUUGGGACCAACAAUGAAUGAGAGGGGAGGCAGGGCUGGGUGGUGGGCAACAAGGUUCAAGGGAAAGGCCAGAUUCUGGUUCCGGCCCAGCCAUGGUUUCCUCGGGAAAUUCUGGACAAGACAUUGAAUUUCUGGGCUUCUCUUUCCUUAGCUUCAAAUGGGAAAUAAUAAUACCUACCUGACAGGAGUAUUGUACACAUGAAAUGAGAGCAAUGACAUGAAAGUCCUUUAAAGAAGUUAAAAGCACUUCCCUGUGUGAGGCUAUUAUUUCCCUGCCACAGGAAACAGACUGCAGGGCUGAAGCCUCUGCUUGAGACACCAGGACUGCUGGGUGGGACUUUUGAAUAAGGCUCUUUGGCUUACUUUUGCCCAGAGCGUAACAGGGAAGAACAUAUCUGACUCCAUAUUGGAUCUGUUCCUCUUAGUUUAACCUUUGUAUUCUAUUGCUUUUGAGACAAGUUAACCACUAAAGGGAUGUUGCCAAUAACUUAAAGUAUACAUAAUCUCUGGGAACCCUGCCUCCCAUGCCUGAGCAUUGAGAUAAAAUACCUUU